rnacentral:rRNA from 1 species
AGUCGAGCGAAGCACUUAAGUUUGAUUCUUCGGAUGAAGACUUUUGCGAUUGAGCGGCGGACGGGUGAGUAACGCGUGGGUAACCUGCCUCAUACAGGGGGAUAACAGUUAGAAAUGACUGCUAAUACCGCAUAAGACCACGGUACCGCAUGGUACAGUGGUAAAAACUCCGGUGGUAUGAGAUGGACCCGCGUCUGAUUAGGUAGUUGGUGGGGUAACGGCCUACCAAGCCGACGAUCAGUAGCCGACCUGAGAGGGUGACCGGCCACAUUGGGACUGAGACACGGCCCAGACUCCUACGGGAGGCAGCAGUGGGGAAUAUUGCACAAUGGAGGAAACUCUGAUGCAGCGACGCCGCGUGAAGGAUGAAGUAUUUCGGUAUGUAAACUUCUAUCAGCAGGGAAGAAAAUGACGGUACCUGACUAAGAAGCCCCGGCUAACUACGUGCCAGCAGCCGCGGUAAUACGUAGGGGGCAAGCGUUAUCCGGAUUUACUGGGUGUAAAGGGAGCGUAGACGGCACGGCAAGCCAGAUGUGAAAGCCCGGGGCUCAACCCCGGGACUGCAUUUGGAACUGCUGAGCUAGAGUGUCGGAGAGGCAAGUGGAAUUCCUAGUGUAGCGGUGAAAUGCGUAGAUAUUAGGAGGAACACCAGUGGCGAAGGCGGCUUGCUGGACGAUGACUGACGUUGAGGCUCGAAAGCGUGGGGAGCAAACAGGAUUAGAUACCCUAGUAGUCCACGCCGUANACGAUGAGUACUAAGUGUUNGAUGUCAAAGUUC